GAUGAACGCUGGCGGCGUGCCUAAUACAUGCAAGUCGAGCGAACAGACGAGGAGAUUGCUCCUCUGACGUUAGCGGCGGACGGGUGAGUAACACGUGGAUAACCUACCUAUAAGACUGGGAUAACUUCGGGAAACCGGAGCUCAUACCGGAUAAUAUAUUGAACCGCAUGGUUCAAUAGUGAAAGACGGUUUUGCUGUCACUUAUAGAUGGAUCCGCGCCGCAUUAGCUAGUUGGUAAGGUAACGGCUUACCAAGGCAACGAUGCGUAGCCGACCUGGGAGGGUGAUCGGCCACACUGGAAGUGAGACACGGUCCAGACUCCUACGGGAGGCAGCAGUAGGGAAUCUUCCGCAAUGGGCGAAAGCCUGACGCAGCAACGCCGCGUGAGUGAUGAAGGUCUUCGGAUCGUAAAACUCUGUUAUUAGGGAAGAACAAAUGUGUAAGUAACUAUGCACGUCUUGACGGUACCUGAUCAGAAAGCAACGGCUAACUACGUG
rnacentral:rRNA from 1 species